AAUUCUGGAACAUGUCCUAUCAGAUUU
rnacentral:piRNA from 1 species